GGGGGGACACAGCGGGGACACAGGGCGGCCGGGGCGAGGAGCGGGGCGGACAGCGCGGCUCCCCGGCGGCGCGGCUGCAGCCAAGGCGCUUUCGUGCCCUGCCUGUGUCGUGGAGCCUUAGAACUGCGGAAACCUUGAAAAAUCAAUAAAAAUUACUGUAAACGCCAGUAUUUGAUGACGGAAUGUAUAUAUAUAUAUACACAUACAUACAUAUAUGUAUAUGUAUAGAUAUGUAUGUGUAUAUAUAUAAGCUGUUGGUUAGGUAAGAUGCUGGUCAGAUAAACAGAAUUUAAGGAUAAUCAGCGUUUCAAGUUGCGAGACGGUAUGAGGAAGCUCAGGUAUCUUUUAUUUCUGUUGCAUAAGCAGAACGAAUGUACCUGUUCCGAGGCAGGUGUGAGAGGCAGGGCUGCGCCUUGCCGCUGUCCCCGUGCGUGCGGACGCGCGGCUGUCACCGGGAUGCCCGCGCACGGUUCUGUGUGUGUUUGUGUGUUCGUGGGUUUGUGUUUGUGUGUGCUUGUGUUCGUGUGUUUGUGCUUGCGAGCGGCUCCCUGAACGGCUCCGAAAGCCCAGGCACGGGCUGCUCCAUGACCGGCUGCCCUCUGGCCUUCCGCAGGGCCAGUUAGCUGUGGAAGUAGCUAAUCACAUAUCCUGAGCAGCCUGGAUAUCCCAGUGUAUUUCCUGGAGAAUUCUUAGUCUCUUUUAGGACAACCAGGUGUGCAGUAAUAGACUCGGGCUAAGUGGUCUUGCAGGAAAUUGUGUGUUCACAGGCUGACUAAACUCAGGGAGUCUAUUCAAUGAAAAAAAGAAGCCAAAAGAUACAGUGAGUAUUAUCCUUAUUUUGAACUUUCUGAUAAUUUGCUGCUCAUGUAUCAACCUGUUCUGUUUAAUAUCUCUACAGGUAAGUUGUCAGUUAGGUAUUUGGGAUGAAUUUGGGUUUUUGUUAUAGCAUUCUGACUGAAUUGAUUUCAUUAACUUAACAAGCUGCUUGGAACAGCUGAGUCUGUUGGUUGUUUUAAGUCCACUCCUGCAAUGGCAAUGAGGAAACGUUUCUGUUAGUGCUGGGAAAUUGGAGGAUAACGUGAAACUUAAUGAAGUGAAACAGGAUUGCAUUUUCCUCAGAGUGAUUCUAUUAUGCCUCAUUUAGGGCCUCAUGUUAUUGCUCACCUCAAAUCAUUAGCUGUUACAGUCUUUUUGUAUUUCUGUUUUUAGUGCUAUGAAGCUCAUAAUUUGUUCUUGUUUUAUAUUUUUUUCAGUUGCAUUGUGUUUAAUGUUUACUUUUCCAUUUUUUGCAGCAGUGUAACAGAAGCUGUAUUUUAAUGGAAGGUUUCUCUGGGCUUCCCUAAGGGGUUUCCACGUUAAUGCCUUUAAAAUUCAAUCAUUAACUUUUGCCUUCACCUGAAGGUGGAAAGUGAUGAUGAAAAACAAUAUAGCACAGUGUGUAAUUUGAUUUUACAAAGCUUCAUCAGAAUUGAUUUAGCUGAUAUGUAAACAGGGGAAAACUCAGGAACUUUCUUUUUGCCCCAGCUUGCCCAUUCACUUCAGCUUCAAGCUGUGCACCGUUCACCUGCAGCUGCCCUGCUGCAGCACAGGCUCAGGACUGAUGGGAUUUGCUGAGCUGGUUCUUGUCCGCAGCUGUGAGGAAGGGGACGAGGACACCCCCAGGGAUCCCUUCCGGAUCCGUAUUCCCAGGCCAAGGUCCAACAGACUGGGCACAGGGGGGGAAGAUUUUUCAGAUGCUUUGGUGCAAACACAAUUGCUUCCUGAGGGAGAGAUUUGGCAUGUGUUUCCUGAGAGAACCGUGCUUGCGUCAGCAGCCCCCUGCCACCCUCUGAGCUGGACGAGCACAACUGUGUGUGGGGCUCCUGGGGAACUGCAUGGGGGGCCUGCACUGGGUUCAAAAGCACCUUUUCUUCUUUUUUAUUCAUAACUUUUUACCCUGGUCGGUCUGACAGUGUGGCUGCUGUGUCAAGGGCUGAGGAGGUGGCCUGAAAGGAAGGGACACAUGGCAGGAGGCAGGAGAUGGCCGCAGCCCCAUGUGCUGGGCAGCCCGGGCCCGCGCCGCCCGUGAGGGCCGCAGCCAGGCGCUGUCCCUGAGGCGAGGAGCGCAGUCACCGCCAUGGCCUCUGCCCGCCGGGCCCGGCACGCCGGCCCUCCCGACGGCGGCUGGGGAUGGAUGAUUGUUGCUGGCUGCUUCCUCGUCACGAUCUGCACCAGGGCAGUGACAAGGUGCAUCUCCAUUUUUUUUGUGGAGUUUCAGGCAUACUUUGGGCAGGAUUAUGCCAGAACUGCUUGGAUCCACUCCAUUGUUGACUGUGCUACGAUGCUUUGUGCCCCGCUUGGGAGUUUAAUCAGUAAUCAUGUAUCCUGCCAAGUUGGUAUCAUGCUAGGAGGGCUGCUUGCAUCUACUGGACUAAUUUUGAGCUCAUUCGCCACCAGUCUGGAGCAUCUCUACUUAUCAUUAGGAGUCCUCACAGGGCUUGGGUUUGCACUUUGUUAUUCUCCAGCCAUUGCAAUGGUGGGCAAAUACUUCAACAAAAGGAAAGCGCUGGCCUAUGGAAUAGCCAUGUCAGGAAGUGGAAUUGGUACCUUCAUCCUGGCCCCUGUGGUCCAGCUCUUAAUUGAGCAGUUUUCCUGGCGAGGAGCUUUGCUCAUCCUGGGAGGUUUUGUACUAAAUCUCUGUGUCUGUGGUGCCUUGAUGCGGCCUAUUUCUCUUAAGGAGGAUUGCAAAACUGCUCCUGAGUUGCUUGAACAGAAUUAUGUCACUGAAACGGAGAAACAAGACUUAAAGCGAAUGUCCAUCUGUUCACCUUUAAUCAAAUUAUGGCCUCAUGAAUGUUUAUGCUACUGUUCAUGGAAGGAAUAUGACUUUUUGCUGAUGCCAGGCUUCAUGGUGCUGGCAGUGUCAAUUUUAUUUAUGGCAUAUGGCUGCAGCCCUCUUUUUGUCUACCUAGUGCCUUAUGCUUUGAGUGUGGGAGUGAGUCAUCACCAGGCUGCCUUCCUCAUGUCCAUACUUGGUGUCAUAGACAUCAUUGGUAAUAUCACCUUUGGAUGGCUCACAGACAGAAGGUGCCUGAAGAAACAUCGGUACUUUUGCUACCUCUUUGCUGUAGGAAUGGAUGGCCUUUCUUGUCUUUUCCUGCCAGUUCUCCAAAGCUUCCCCUUGCUUGUGCCUUUCUCAUUUACCUUUGGCUACUUCGAUGGGGCCUAUGUCACACUGAUCCCUGUUGUGACAGCAGAUGCAGUGGGAACUCCUUUGUUAUCAUCAGCACUGGGCGUUGUGUAUUUUCUUCAUGCCAUACCAUAUCUAGUGAGCCCACCUGUGGCAGGUUGGCUUGUGGACACAACUGGCAGCUAUACUGCAUCAUUUCUCCUGUGUGGAUUUUCUAUGAUAUUUAGCUCAGCACUAUUGUGUUUUGCAAGACUAGCAAAGAAAAUCAAAAGAACACAUUUGCCAUCCCUCACUGGUAACACAACCUUGAAACAGCACAUCUGGACAAAUGGAGCAAUAGCUUAUUCUGUCACAGCAGAAUUAGACCAAAGGGAUGUUGAAUUUUUGGCUGUGGAUUCAAACAGCUUCAGCAACAGCCCUGAUGGACACAAGCAUUGAUGGAAAUGCUCAGCUGAAGCACUGCACUGCUGAGCCUGUCUGGCUCCCCAGGACAGCGUGGUGGGACUUGGCUUGGGGUAACAUCUGUCCAACUCAGAUUCUACCUCAGAUGGAUCCUACCUGGGAUUAUGCUCUGUUCUGUGCAGUGGAUGGAAGUUCAGUGUAACUCCAACUCAACCUGCUCCCCAUGUCGGCAUGCCAGGCAAUGCAGCAGCACCACCCUGUGGGAAAUAACAUUUUUCCUCAUUUACAAGACAGGCAAAAUCCAGAAGGCUGGAUACCUGGGAGCACCCCCAGGCAUCUGUGGUCUGGAGCAGUCCUGCAGAGUACAAAGGAGGUGAGGCACAACAAAUACACUUUCUGCAUUACUAUGUCUCACAGUUUCCUUACUGUGCAGAUUGAGCUGCUAUGACUCUUCAUAAAAAUUCAAACUCACAUUUUUUUCCCAAAAUAAUUUAUACCUUAUCUUUAUUUCUUCAAGGUUCUUUUUUCAGGAGAUAUCCUGGUGGCAGCGUAGAGGGGAGAAUGGAUGUGUCACUAUGGCUUGCAUCACCUCUUCCUCAAAUUCUUCCCAGCUGCCCUCCACCCUCCAUGCCCUCAUGGAGUUUAGAUAGCACUGAUGAUGAGCUUAGAAGCCCUCAAGGUUCACAAAGGCAGUGAGGCUGUCUAAGAGAACCUUUUGUCCCCAUAGCUGGGCACACCAAUGUCGUGUCACCAGUUCCUGACUUUGCCCCCACUGCUGUUGCAGCUUCCAGGAGUGGUCUGUCGGAACUGUUCCCAGUCCUUCUGUUCUCCCUCCUCACCCCUCCUUCCCUAGGCAGGGUUGCCAUUGUAUGUAAGAGAGAAUCUGGCAGGUGACUGGGACAAGGGUGGAUUUUGCUCCAGCGGUUUCUUAGGAAGAGGGUGUUUGCAAUUAUGUACACUUGAUUGCUUUUGCUUGUGUUAUGAAAGAUUCUCUGAAGGAGAGCUGAGAAGGAAGAGGUUUAUUGUUAUUUUGUGAUCUGGCAUUGGUGUUUUGCAAUCCUUCAUGGCUUGUCAUCCUGUCUGUACAGGGGUGCUGUUGUGGGUGCAGGAACACUCCAGGAUGGCUAGAAACUAAAGUGCACAUCCUUCUUGAUGGACUCUGUCACCAGUUUGCUUCAUGCUACACUAGUGGCUUGGGUUCAGACGUGUUUUGGAAGUAGAGCAUUAGUUUUCCCUGAGUACUAUGCUCUAUCAAACACAGGGACACUGCUGGGAAAUUAGAACAGGAUACUACAAACAAUAUCAAAAUAUAGUUGGACAGCUGAAGACUUUUGGCAUUUCAGUGCUUUCUUCCAACUAUUUAGAUCGUAUGGGCACCUGUGGCAGCUCAGAGUCCUGCCACUGAAGGGACAGCCCUGUAAUCUAGGAGGAGCAGAAACAAGCUAGGAGAAACCUCCCUCUAAGUUUAGGGUGAGAAAAGCCUCCCUCUCACAGGCCUCUGCAGGCACAUGUUAAUAUUUCCAGUUUCGUUGGCUCUCCCAGCUGUUCCACCCCUGUUAUCCCAUUCAUCCCCCUAGUUUGCUGCCCCUCCCCUGCAUCACUUUUCCCUGUUCCCAUUGAUACUCAGCCCUCAGAGCCACCCCUUUUCCCCAUAUUUAACCCUGUACCCUCCACCCUCUUCUGUCUCUGUCCAUGGACCUUCUUGGGGGGAAUAAACAGCCUUUGGAUCUCCAAACAGAGACCUGUCCUUUGCCUUUCUUCAUUAGCUUUUUUGCAAGUGUGCUCCAGGCCCUGAAAGCGCAGGUUUCUCUCUGGGACUUGUUGAAGUGCGCUGCUUCAGGCACCCACCCCUUUUUCCACAUGCCCCUUGUGCUCUGUGGUGUUCACCCAACUCUGCCCUGGUUGUGCUCUCCCCUCCAUGUCCAGUUCAUGUCAUUUCUUGUGUGUUUGCAAUCCCUGACAUUUUUGAUGAGCAUGGUCAUAGCCAUCUAUUUGGCAUCUCAAAGACUGUCCUUCCUUCCUCUCCAGGUGUUUGCUGUUGUGGUUCCUGAUAGGGUGUUUUGGGUAAACUAGACAGAUGCUGUUUUGUGCACAGUUUAAUUAUUUUGUGCAAUGCCCCUGAAGCCAGUUUUGCUGUGAGGUCAGGGAAAAUAAAAGGGGCUGUCUCCUCAGCCUUUCAUAUCCUACCAAAACUU